rnacentral:tRNA from 4 species
GCGGACGUGGUGGAAUUGGUAGACACACUGGAUUUAGGUUCCAGCGCCGCAAGGUGUGAGAGUUCGAGUCUCUCCGUCCGCA